UCCCUGGUGUCUCAGAUGGUACAGAAUCUGCCUGGAAUGCAGGAGGCCCAGGUUCGAUCCCUGGGUUGGGAA